UGCCUGAAACAUCGACUCUCCUGCUCCUCGGUGCUUUUCCAGCACCACACUCUCGACUCUAACAAUCCUCAACCUCGGUUUGCAAACGUUUCUCAUUCUUCUCGAUUCCCUUACACAUCUGUCCAAGCAGCUGGUGCUCUGCAUCAGUGGUGGAGGGAAUUAAUGUUAAUUGUGAGGCCAGUCAGGUUUCUGGAGAUGAACUUCUGAAAUAUUCCUCAAUCUGAGUAGGUGGAGAGUUUCUCAUCACACUCGCAUCUUGUAGAUGGUGGAUAGGCUUUGGGGAAUCAUAUCUGGGACCUAGGAAGAUGGUUGUGGUUGUUGGAGGGUCAGUCAUCUCAGUUCCAGGACAUCUCUGCAGGAGUUCCUCAGGAGAGUGUUCUAGGCCCAACCAUCUUCAGCUGCUUCAUCAAUGACCUUCUCUCGAUCUUAAGUGGGGAUGGUCACUGAUGAUUCCACAAUGUUCAGCCCCAUUCGUGACUCCUCAGAUACUGAAGCUGUCCGUGUUCAAAUGCAACAAGCUGUGGACACCAUCCAGGCCUGGGCUAACAAGUGGCAGGGUAGUGGAACUGGAACAAUGGUGCACUCUCUCAGUUAGUAACAGAGGGAUGAGAAUCUUCAAUGAUAAAGGGACUCCUGACUCAGACACCACCUCUGGAUUUCGCUGUGCACACUAUUGAACCCGGUGAAGGGGUUUUGAUCAAACAUUGACAACAGUUAACUCUCGAACUUGUGUGGGACGGCCCGUUCCUAGUACUCCUCACCACUGAACGGCGGAGAAAGGCUGGCAAAUGGCCAGUAACCUCUCCAGUUAAGAAAGGAGUCUGGACAGCCGAAUCAACACGUGACCCACUAUAACUCAGACUGAACAGACUUUGAUUAACUGACUAUACUAUGGCGACGUGA